CAAUAGCGUAUAUUAAAGUUGUUGCAGUUAAAAAGCUCGUAGUUGGAUUUCUGGUCGGAAGCUCCUGUCCUCUGAUGAGCGUACAAGUGCGUCCUACCAUCCUUCUGUUAACCUUUAAGGCUUUCGCGGCUUUCUAGGGGCUCAGAUAUUUUACCUUGAGAAAAUUAGAGUGUUUCAGGCAGGCUAGCGCCGGAAUACAUUAGCAUGGAAUAAUGGAAUAGGACUUUUGCCUCUUCUGUUGGUCAUGAGGCUCGAGUAAUGAUUAAUAGGGAUAGUUGGGGGCAUUAGUACUUAACUGUCAGAGGUGAAAUUCUCGGAUUUGUUAAAGACUAACUUAUGCGAAAGCAUUUGCCAAGGAUGUUNUCAUUAA
rnacentral:rRNA from 1 species